rnacentral:rRNA from 1 species
GUGGAUUAGUGGCGAACGGGUGAGUAACACGUGGGCAAUCUGCCCUUCACUCUGGGACAAGCCCUGGAAACGGGGUCUAAUACCGGAUAACACUCCUCAGAGCAUUCUGGGGGGUUAAAAGCUCCGGCGGUGAAGGAUGAGCCCGCGGCCUAUCAGCUUGUUGGUGGGGUAAUGGCCUACCAAGGCGACGACGGGUAGCCGGCCUGAGAGGGCGACCGGCCACACUGGGACUGAGACACGGCCCAGACUCCUACGGGAGGCAGCAGUGGGGAAUAUUGCACAAUGGGCGAAAGCCUGAUGCAGCGACGCCGCGUGAGGGAUGACGGCCUUCGGGUUGUAAACCUCUUUCAGCAGGGAAGAAGCGAAAGUGACGGUACCUGCAGAAGAAGCGCCGGCUAACUACGUGCCAGCAGCCGCGGUAAUACGUAGGGCGCAAGCGUUGUCCGGAAUUAUUGGGCGUAAAGAGCUCGUAGGCGGCUUGUCACGUCGGAUGUGAAAGCCCGGGGCUUAACCCCGGGUCUGCAUUCGAUACGGGCUAGC